UACGUAGGAGGCGAGCGUUGUCCGGAGUUACUGGGCGUAAAGGGUGCGCAGGCGGUGGCCCGCGUGGGCGGUGAAAGCUCCUGGCUCAACUGGGAGAGGGCCGUCCAGACGGGGUCACUUGAGGGGCGGAGAGGGGCGUGGAAUUCCGGGUGGAGCGGUGAAAUGCGCAGAUAUCAGGAGGAACACCCAUAGCGAAGGCAGCUUGCUGGGACGUUACUGACGCUAAGGCGCGAAAGCGUGGGGAGCGAACAGG
rnacentral:rRNA from 1 species